rnacentral:rRNA from 1 species
CAACGGGCGUAACCCCUGCAUACAUUUAAUUGCCUUGUAUGAACGGUCGACGAAACGUCGAAGGAAGGUAGGGAUGACGUCAAGUCAGUAUGGCCUUUAUGAAUUGGGCUACACACGUAUUACAAUGGUUGCCACAAAGAAUAGCAAUAGUGUAAGCUGGAGCAAGUUUCUAAAAAGCAAUCUUAGUUCAGAUUGAUCUCUGAAAGUCGGGAUCAUGAAGUAGGAAUCGCUAGUAAUCGCAAAUCAGCAUGUUGCGGUGAAUAGUUCACAGCUUCACGACACACCGCCCGUCACGCCAUGGAAGUUAGAAGUACCCAAAAAUAUCUCGGAUAUCUAAGGUAAUGCUAGUAACUGGGGCUAAGUCGUAACAAGGUAGCCGUAUCGGAAGGUGCGGCUGGAUCACCUCCUUU